AAUGAACGCUGGCGGCGUGCUUAACACAUGCAAGUCGAACGGAGUGGCGAACGGGAGAAUAACACGGGGGUGAGCUGCCCUGCACUUCGGGAUACGCGUGGGAAACUGCGUAUAAUACCAGAUAGUGUUGGAUGGGCUCGCGGACUAUCGGGUUGUGGGUGGGGUAAGGGCUUACCAAGGCGGCGACGGGUAGCCGGCCUGAGAGGGUGGACGGCCACAUUGGGACUGAGACACGGCCCAGAAUCCUACGGGAGGCAGCAGGGGGGAAUAUUGCACAAUGGGGGGAAGCCUGAUGAAGCGACGCCGCGUGGGGGAUGACGGCCUUCGGGUUGUAAACUCCGUUCACCAUCGACGCGGUAGAUGGAGAAGAAGCACCGGCUAACUACGUGCCAGCAGCCGCGGUAAUAC
rnacentral:rRNA from 1 species